GAUGAAGAACGCAGCGAAAUGCGAUAAGUAAUGUGAAUUGCAGAAUUCAGUGAAUCAUCGAAUCUUUGAACGCACAUUGCGCCCGCCAGUAUUCUGGCGGGCAUGCCUGUUCGAGCGUCAUUUCAACCAUCAAGCCCCAGGCUUGUGUUGGGGACCUGCGGCUGCCGCAGGCCCUGAAAACCAGUGGCGGGCUCGCUGUCACACCGGGCGUAGUAGAUUUUAUCUCGCUCAGGGCGUGCUGCGGGUUCCGGCCGUUAAAAAGCCUUUUUUACCCAAGGUUGACCUCGGAUCAGGUAGGAAUACCCGCUGAACUUAAGCAUAUCAAUAAGCGGAGGA
rnacentral:misc_RNA from 1 species